AACGAACGCUGGCGGCAUGCCUAACACAUGCAAGUCGAACGAGACCUUCGGGUCUAGUGGCGCACGGGUGCGUAACGCGUGGGAACCUGCCCUUAGGUUCGGAAUAACUCCCCGAAAGGGGUGCUAAUACCGGCUAAUGUCUUCGGACCAAAGAUUUAUCGCCCAUGGAUGGGCCCGCGUUGGAUUAGACAGUUGGUAGGGUAAAAGCUUACCAAGGCGACGAUCCAUAGCUGGUCUGAGAGGAUGAUCAGCCACACUGGGACUGAGACACGGCCCAGACUCCUACAGGAAGCAGCAGUGGGGAAUAUUGGACAAUGGGCGAAAGCCUGAUCCAGCAAUGCCGCGUGAGUGAUGAAGGCCGUAGGGUUGUAAAUCUCGUUUACCCGGGAUGAUAAUGACAGUACCGGGAGAAUAAGCUCCGGCUAACUCCGUG
rnacentral:rRNA from 1 species